AUGGAAGAAUGCAGACUCCUUGAGGGAACCCAGAACUUGCCCAUAAAUAAUACUGCAAAUAAUAAUUGGUUAUGGUCACCUGGUAAAGGUAAUUACUCUGCAAAGAGUUUUUACACAACAAUGCAUGCCCACAUGCCAGUUGAUGAGCCAUGUAAAUGGAUAUGGGAAAGCAGGAGUAUCAUGAAGAUUAAGGUCUUUGCAUGGCUGAUGCUUAAUGACAGAUUAAAUACCAGAGAUAUGCUGGUUAGAAGGCACUGGAGGCAACAGAAUGAUGAGAAUAACUGCCCUUUAUGCCCCACUCAAACCCUGGAGGACAUAUAUCACCUAUUUUUAAGUGUACCUUCAGUGCAAAGGUAUGGAAUUAUUUUCAGAUCCAGUGGACUGCUGGUCUAA
rnacentral:rRNA from 1 species